rnacentral:rRNA from 1 species
CCCGCACAAGCGGUGGAGCAUGUGGUUUAAUUCGAUGAUACGCGAGGAACCUUACCUGGGCUCGAACGUAAGAUGACUGUAGGUGAAAGCUUACAUCUCUUCGGAGCAUUUUACGAGGUGCUGCAUGGUUGUCGUCAGCUCGUGCCGUGAGGUGUCGGGUUAAGUCCCAUAACGAGCGCAACCCUUGCCUUUAGUUGCCAGCAGUUCGGCUGGGCACUCUAAAGGGACUGCCGGUGUUAAACCGGAGGAAGGUGGGGAUGACGUCAAGUCCUCAUGGCCUUUAUGACCAGGGCUACACACGUACUACAAUGGCCGAUACAAAGGGCAGCGACACUGCGAGGUGAAGCCAAUCCCGUAAAAUCGGUCUCAGUCCGGAUUGGAGUCUGCAACUCGACUCCAUGAAGUUGGAAUCGCUAGUAAUCGUGGAUCAGCAUGCCACGGUGAAUACGUUCCCGGGCCUU